UACGGGGGGGGCAAGCGUUGUUCGGAAUUACUGGGCGUAAAGGGCUCGUAGGUGGCCAACUAAGUCAGACGUGAAAUCCCUCAGCUUAACUGGGGAACUGCGUCUGAUACUGGAUGGCUUGAGUUUGGGAGAGGGAUGCGGAAUUCCAGGUGUAGCGGUGAAAUGCGUAGAUAUCUGGAGGAACACCGGUGGCGAAGGCGGCAUCCUGGACCGAGAUUGACACUGAUGAGCGAAAGCCAGGGGAGCAAACGGG
rnacentral:rRNA from 1 species